GAUGUCUUUAAAUUAAAGUUCAUCAUCCUAACAUUUUUAGAAUAAAAAAUAAUAACCUCUCAGGAAAAGUACCUGAAUGAACCUCUUUCUCCACUUGUCUCACCUUAUUUUGGAGUGAAGUGAAGGGUUCAUUGAUGAUGGUCUUGCAGUUCUUGAGAAGACUUGCUGGCUCCUUUGAGAUGUACCUUGACCCAUUUCCUUCCACUUUGUCCAUAAGGGAUCCCCUGUGGUCUUCCCUGUGUUCAUGGAAGUUUGUGCAGUGGCAGGAGAAGCGAAAUGUGACAACAAUUUAAAACAAACGGGCAACUUCUUUCAGGAAAGCACAGCAGCCCUGCAGCUACAGCCAAAGGUCUUUCCAGGGAUCCCACUUUUUCUCAGCCACUUGUCAUUCCGCUACCAUUGCGUCUCUUUUAGAGGCCUGACAGGCAUGCACUGCUAUUUAAUCUCUUGGUUUGCUUCAGGUUUUUAUACUUGCUGUAGGAGAACAAUUUUCUUUAUGUUGGGAGAAAAGUUUAAAUUAUUAAAUUUAUGUUACAAUCUGGAUAAAUGUUUUGAACUUCUUGCUGGUUUCUUCUGUUUGGACAAUCAUAGCAAUUUUUGUUCCAAGUGAUUUUCUUUAGUGGACUGUGUUUUAUAUAAAAUUGUGGUGGGUUAUAAUUGGUUUCUUUGCAUGUCAUCCGUACCCUUGAUUCAUAUUUUUGUUUUGUAUAUAUUUUUGAUUAGAGAUGGUGAAAAUAAGUACAAAUGAAAAAAGUAAAAAUAAAAUAUGGAACAAA